rnacentral:misc_RNA from 1 species
GAUGAAGAACGCAGCGAAAUGCGAUACGUAAUGUGAAUUGCAGAAUUCAGCGAAUCAUCGAAUCUUUGAACGCACAUUGCGCCUGCCAGCACUCUGGCAGGCAUGCCUGUUCGAGCGUCAUUUCAACCAUCAAGCCCUAGGCUUGCGUUGGAGCCCUGCGGCUGCCGCAGGCCCCUAAAAGCAGUGGCGGGCUCGCUAUCACACCGAGUGCAGUAGAUUACUCUUCGCUCAGGGCGUGUGGCGGGUUCCAGCCGUGAAACCCCCUACUUCUCAAGGUUGACCUCGGAUCAGGUAGGAAUACCCGCUGAACUUAAGCAUAUCAAUAAGCGGAGGA